UUCUGCGCGCCGCCUCCCCGCGAGCACCUGCUUCCGGGCGGCUGGCGCGCGCUGCUCCCGGCUUCUCUGGGGUUUCCACGCGGGCCGGCGCGAUGGGCAAGAAGGGCAAGAAGGAGAAGAAGGGCCGCGGGGCGGAGAAGACGGCCGCCAAGAUGGAGAAGAAGGUGUCCAAGCGCUCGCGGAAGGAGGAGGAAGACCUGGAAGCUCUCAUAGCCCAUUUCCAGACGCUCGACGCCAGAAAGACUCAGAUCGUGGAAACCCCGUGCUCCCCACCUUCACCACGGUUAAAUGCCUCCCUCUCCGCGCAUCCUGAGAAAGAUGAAUUAAUCCUUUUCGGAGGUGAAUAUUUCAAUGGCCAAAAAACUUUUUUGUAUAAUGAGCUCUACAUCUACAACAUCAGAAAGGAUAGCUGGUCCAAAGUCGACAUCCCCAAUCCACCUCCAAGGCGCUGCGCCCACCAGGCGGUGGCGGUGCCUCAAGGUGGCGGACAGCUGUGGGUCUUCGGAGGGGAGUUUGCUUCUCCCGACGGAGAGCGAUUCUACCACUACAGGGAUCUCUGGGUCCUGCAUCUGGCCACCAAGGCCUGGGAGCAAGUCAAAGCAACAGGAGGUCCUUCGGGGCGGAGUGGACAUCGGAUGGUAGCCUGGAAGAGACAGCUACUCCUCUUUGGUGGCUUCCAUGAGAGCACAAGGGACUACGUCUAUUACAACGACGUGUACGCCUUUGACCUGGACACAUUCACGUGGAGCAAGCUGUGCCCGUCCGGGACGGGGCCCAGCCCCCGCUCUGGCUGCCAGAUGUCCGUCACGCCGCAGGGCAGCGUGGUCAUCUACGGCGGCUACUCGAAGCAGAGAAUCAAGAAAGAUGUGGACAGAGGCACCCCGCACUGCGACAUGUUCCUGCUGAAGUCUGAGGAGGGCAGAGAAGGCAGCUGGGCGUGGUCUCGGAUCAACCCGUCGGGAGUCAAGCCCUCUCCGAGGUCUGGCUUUUCGGUGGCCGUGGCACCAAAUCACCAGACGCUGCUCUUCGGGGGUGUCUGUGACGAGGAGGAAGAGGAGCGCCUGGAGGGUGACUUCUUCAACGACCUGUACUUCUUCGAUGCCACCAGGAGCCGCUGGUUUGCGGGACAGCUGAAGGGACCCAAGACGGAGAAGAGACGGCGCCGGCGGGGCAGGAGGGCGGGGCCUGAUGGAGCCGGCGAGCAGGAGCAGGCGUGUGGGGGAGCCGGCGCCCCAGCACCCCUGGAGGUGGUCACGGAGGUGGCAGCGGAGGAUGGGACAGUGGUCACCAUCAAGCAGAUGCUCCGUGUCCCGCAUGCAGCGGGACAGCCCCAGCCUGAGGACGAAGAUAGUCCCGAGGAAGCCAGCAGCCCCGUGGUGGAGCCGAGUCCGCGCUCCAACGCCAUGCUGGCCGUGAAGCACGGGGUGCUCUACGUCUACGGGGGCAUGUUUGAAGCAGGUGACCGCCAGGUCACCCUCAGCGACUUGUACUGCCUCGACCUCCACAAGAUGGAGGAGUGGAAGGCUUUGGUGGAGAUGGACCCAGAAACUCAGGAGUGGCUGGAGGAGACGGAAUCAGAUGAGGACAGCGACCAGGCUGAGGGUGCCGAGGGUGGCGAGGAGGAGGAAGAGGAGGAGGAAGAGGAAGAGGAAAGCGCAGAGGAUGGCAGCUCGGAGGAUGGAGGAUGACAGGAGGAGGCUGAAGGGCACGGACUCCUGCGUCCCCACACAGCGUCCCCAGCCUGGGCCGUCCGGCUCCGGAGCGGCGGAUCAUCUGUGGAGGCAUGUGGUCGCCAGCGUGCCGACCGCUGCCUGCUCCAGCGGUAUUUUUGCUGUUGCGACAAUAUCAGAUGAAAAAGUUAAUGAACAAGAUGGCGACUCCGAUGUUCAGCAGGAUCACCAUGACGACCAGGAUCGGCGCCGAGCCCUGGAACGGAAGGAGAGGAGCAGCCGUGAGCGGCGCCUCGGCCACACCUCCCACCCCUGCUGUCACCCACACUGCGCUCCAUGUCCACCCCUCGGGGUCUGCCUCCAGGAGGAGGUGCCCACGGGCUUGUGAGUCUGGAGUUGCUGGUCGUGAAGGGCCCUGUGGUCUCGCAAACCGUGGCACUGGUGCCCCUGGAAAGAAAACCCCGGGCCUCGCUAACUGAACAUCCUGCCCCUGCCAGGCAGCAGCUGUCCCUGGCUCUGCAGAACUGAGACUUCAGAGCAUUGGGACUGGGAUUCCAGGAGAGUCUCGUGGCUGCCACAGCCACUUCUCUAAACAAGCCUUCCUCGACAGCGUACCUUCCCUUCAACAGGGACCUGCCCUGGACAGCUCUGUGCUGACCGACUCCGGCCACCACCCCGAGACCUCGGGAGCGCCCACCCGUGGCGGCUCCGGUGGAACCCCAGGCACCAGGGCCCUGCCUCCGCGGCUCUGCUUGGGCCCGAGCCUGCUGAGGUAGGGCAGGAGGCGUGUGGCCCCACCUGUCCCUUCGGCAGGGAGGAGAGGUCGCAUGGUCCCUCUCUGUGGGCCUCGGGGUGCUGGACGUUCACCCUGUGGGAGAGCAGCACCAGGGCCAGCGCCCGCCCAGGGUCUCUGCGAAGGCCACGAGUCCCGGCCCCUCCCCCACAGCCGACUGGGAAGUGCACGCAGGAGGGACGUGACUCCAGAGGCAUCACCUCGCCCCCCUGGAGCUCCCCGCUGGCUGCUUGUCCCUCAGUAAGAAUGGAAAACAGUCUAACCGGCAUGGCUGCGUGGCUUUCCCCAGAGCAGCAGGGCCACGCCUGGGGCUGUGUGUACCCUUGCAGGGUGGCACCACGUAUGUGCCAGCGUGAUCCAGCUCACACAGCAACGUUCACAAUAGCCGAGAAGUGGAAACAACUCAGAGUCCCUCCACAGAUCGACAAACAACCGUGGUGUGUCCCCAUGUGGCUCACUCAGCCCUGGAGGGGACGAAGCUCUGACAGGCCACAGCGUGAUCAGCCCUUGAGAACAUGAAGCCAGACCCAGGAGGCCGUGUGUCGUGUGAGUCCGUUCGUGGGAAGGUGCAGAAAACACAGAUCCAUGGACAGUGGAUUUGGGGCUGCUUAAGGGCUAUGAGGCUUUUCCCAAGGUGAUAGGAAUGUUCUAGAAUUAGCAGAGAGUUGCACAACUCUUGAGUAGAUUGAAGACCACUGAACUGUGUGCUUCAGACAGGGAUUCUAUAAGAUUAUACCUCAAUAAAGCUGUUCCCUAAACAGAA